CGGACAGGUGAGUAACACGUGGAUAACCUACCUAUAAGACUGGGAUAACUUCGGGAAACCGGAGCUAAUACCGGAUAAUAUAUUGAACCGCAUGGUUCAAUAGUGAAAGACGGUUUUGCUGUCACUUAUAGAUGGAUCCGCGCCGCAUUAGCUAGUUGGUAAGGUAACGGCUUACCAAGGCAACGAUGCGUAGCCGACCUGAGAGGGUGAUCGGCCACACUGGAACUGAGACACGGUCCAG
rnacentral:rRNA from 1 species